rnacentral:lncRNA from 1 species
CUAUAUUGAAUUGUAAUCCUAUGUCAGUGACAUCAUGUGCAGAUAUUUCCUACCAUUUCUUUUCCUUUUGUUUAUGGCUUCCUUUGCUGUGUAAAAGCUUUUCAGUUUGAUUAGGUCCCAUUUGUUUAUUUUUUUUUCCGGAAGAGUCUUUUAUUGAAACUGGGUGAUAUCGAUAAGGGGACAGUACAAAAAAAAUUUUGGUCCAUGAAAAAAACAUAAUAAUUCAGUUAAUAAAAACAGUUAUCUUCAACAGGGACACUGUAGGAGUGCUGAGCUUCCUUCUCAUGGUUCCAGCCCCAGGGACAGAGGCUGUCCAGUGUCACUGUGGGGAGAACCUUUCGGGGAGGGGAGGAUUAAUGACUGGAAGAAGAUGGGGAGAGAGUCCUGCUGUCCCCAGCGUGGAACAGGCAGGGAUACAGGGCUGGGGGAUGUGCUCGCAGGAGCCUGAGGAGGGGGUGGGGAAGCAGGGGCUUUGUCAGUUCUGCAGGUUUACAGCCCAUGCCAAAUGGAAUUCCCCCUCUGUGCCCAGCUGGCUUUCACCUUGCUUUGUUGAGCCUGCGAGCCUGGGAUAUGCUAACUCAGGGGUGAUACAACCUGGAAGAAUCUGA